rnacentral:rRNA from 1 species
GACGAACGCUGGCGGCGUGCCUAAUACAUGCAAGUCGAACGCAGUGGGGACGGGUGAGUAACACGUGGGUAACCUCCCAUCAGAGGGGAUAACACUUGGAAACAGGUGCUAAACCGAUACUGAUGGAUGGACCCGCGGUGCAUUAGCUAGUUGGUGAGGUAACGGCUCACCAAGGCCACGAUGCAUAGCCGACCGUAGAGGGUGAUAGUCCACACUGGGACUGAGACACGGCCAAGAGUCGUAGGGGAGGAAGAAGUGGGGAAUCUUCGGCAAGUGACGAAAGCCUGACCGACAACCGCCGCGUGAGUAAAGAAGGUUUUGGGAUCGUAAAACUCUUUUGUUAGGGAAGCGGUAUCUAACCAGAAAGCCACGGCUAACUACGUGCCAGCAGCCGCGGUAAUAC